UUUGUUAAGUCAGAUGUGAAAGCCCGGGGGUCAACCUCGGAAUUGCAUUUGAAACUGACAAACUAGAGUACUGUAGAGGGGGGUAGAAUUUCAGGUGUAGCGGUGAAAUGCGUAGAGAUCUGAAGGAAUACCGGUGGCGAAGGCGGCCCCCUGGACAGAUACUGACACUCAGAUGCGAAAGCGUGGGGAGCAAACAGGAUUAGAUACCCUGGUAGUCCACGCCGUAAACGAUGUCUACUUGGAGGUUGUGGCCUUGAGCCGUGGCUUUCGGAGCUAACGCGUUAAGUAGACCGCCUGGGGAGUACGGUCGCAAGAUUAAAACUCAAAUGAAUUGACGGGGGCCCGCACAAGCGGUGGAGCAUGUGGUUUAAUUCGAUGCAACGCGAAGAACCUUACCUACUCUUGACAUCUACAGAAGCCAGCGGAGACGCAGGUGUGCCUUCGGGAACUGUAAGACAGGUGCUGCAUGGCUGUCGUCAGCUCGUGUUGUGAAAUGUUGGGUUAAGUCCCGCAACGAGCGCAAUCCUUAUCCUUGUUUGCCAGCACUUCGGGUGGGAACUCCAGGGAGACUGCCGGUGAUAAACCGGAGGAAGGUGGGGACGACGUCAAGUCAUCAUGGCCCUUACGAGUAGGGCUACACACGUGCUACAAUGGCGCAUACAGAGGGCGGCCAACUUGCGAAAGUGAGCGAAUCCCAAAAAGUGCGUCGUAGUCCGGAUUGGAGUCUGCAACUCGACUCCAUGAAGUCGGAAUCGCUAGUAAUCGUGGAUCAGAAUGCCACGGUGAAUACGUUCCCGGGCCUUGUACACACCGCCCGUCACACCAUGGGAGUGGGCUGCAAAAGAAGUGGGUAGUUUAACCUUCGGGAGGACGCUCACCACUUUGUGGUUCAUGACUGGGGUGAAGUCGUAACAAGGGAACCG
rnacentral:rRNA from 1 species